rnacentral:rRNA from 1 species
AGAUUGAACGCUGGCGGCAGGCCUAACACAUGCAAGUCGAGCGGCAGCACGGGUACUUGUACCUGGUGGCGAGCGGCGGACGGGUGAGUAAUGCCUAGGAAUCUGCCUGGCAGUGGGGGAUAACGCUCGGAAACGGACGCUAAUACCGCAUACGUCCUACGGGAGAAAGCAGGGGACCUUCGGGCCUUGCGCUAUCAGAUGAGCCUAGGUCGAUUAGCUAGUUGGUGAGGUAAUGGCUCACCAAGGCGACGAUCCGUAACUGGUCUGAGAGGAUGAUCAGUCACACUGGAACUGAGACACGGUCCAGACUCCGUACGGGAGCAGCAGGUGGGAAUAGUUGGACAAGUGGGACGAAAGCCUGAUCCAGCCAUGGCCGCGUGUGUGAAGAAGGUCUUACGGAUUAGUAAAGCUAACGUUUAAGGUU